GACGAACGCUGGCGGCGUGCUUAACACAUGCAAGUCGAACGGAAAGGCCCUGCUUUUGUGGGGUGCUCGAGUGGCGAACGGGUGAGUAACACGUGAGUAACCUGCCCUUGACUUUGGGAUAACUUCAGGAAACGGGGGCUAAUACCGGAUAGGAGCUCCUGCUGCAUGGUGGGGGUGGGAAAGUUUCGGCGGUGGGGGAUGGACUCGCGGCUUAUCAGCUUGUUGGUGGGGUAGUGGCUUACCAAGGCUUUGACGGGUAGCCGGCCUGAGAGGGUGACCGGCCACAUUGGGACUGAGAUACGGCCCAGACUCCUACGGGAGGCAGCAGUGGGGAAUAUUGCACAAUGGGCGGAAGCCUGAUGCAGCAACGCCGCGUGCGGGAUGACGGCCUUCGGGUUGUAAACCGCUUUCGCCUGUGACGAAGCGUGAGUGACGGUAAUGGGUAAAGAAGCACCGGCUAACUACGUG
rnacentral:rRNA from 1 species